ACAGCUUGCAUUGUUUGCAUGCACCCUGAGGUGCUUCUUUAGAGAAGCAUCAUGCUGAGGAAAGAAGGAGUCCGGCAAAAUCAGUUAGGUGCCAUAACAAAGCAGGUGCCAGAGGAAUGGGUUAUAAAUAAAAAUGGAAAUAACCAUGUUCCCUGUGUGAGAUCAUAGUGCUUUUCAGAAGCUGAAGAACACCAGCACCACCUGGGAGGAACAGAAUAGAACACCUGAGAGACACCACUGCAGAAAUAUUUAUGUGGAUUUGGGGCGAGGUGGAAGGCUGUGCUUCAGCAAUCAGCAUUUUCCAGUACAAUGCGACAAAGGUGUGAACAUGAAGUAAAUAAUCGUUGAGGAGUUUUCAUUUAAAUUUCUGCAUACCAGAGAAAAAUGGUCUAUUUCCUUAUGAAUUUCAUCCCAAGAGGCUUGAUACAGAGUGACCAAGGUUCAAUCCUGGGGAGGUCAGAAGCUACAGUUAGCAGAGGAGGAGACAUGCUAAGACGAGAAAGAUGAUGAAGCCCUUCUGUUUCUACCCCUUUGCAUUUGACCAUUUGUAGGACCAGCUUUCUGAAGCUGGAGUCCCUGGGAAAUUAUCUGACUUGGAGAUGCGAGGAUAUUGGGCAACACUUUUGGAUGCAACAAGUAAAACAGAAGCAGAAUUAGGCUGAGAGAG
rnacentral:lncRNA from 13 species